GCCAGAAGCCAUAUCACUCUGCAUCUCAAAACUGGCAGCCCACUGAAGGUAAACAGGUGUGAGCCUAGUCAGUACAUCGAUGGGAUACCUCCUGGGAAGGCAAAGGUUGCUGCUGGAA
rnacentral:rRNA from 1 species